CCAGCCUCUAGUGGCUGUCUCAUUGACAGCCGCUAGAGGCGCUGCCGCGCUUCUCACUGUGAUUUUCACAGUGAGAAGAAGCCAGCGUCCAUAAGAAAGCAUUGAGAAUGCUUUCCUAUGGACUGGCUGAAUGCGCGCGCGGCUCUUGCCGCGCAUGCGUAUUCAGCCGGUGACGUCCAAACCACAGUUAUGAAUAUAAAUUGCUUAAAAUUUUAAAUGAUGCAAAUGAACAAAACCUUUACAGAUACAUUAGGGGGAGAAGUUUUAGAUAAAUAUGCAGUAAGUGUUUAAAGUAGAGGCAGGGAAGCAGAAAUGAGCUUUGUCACAUCAAAGUCAAAUACUCUGCUUAUGUAUAUUUGUAGAGAAUUGAUAACAUUUUGGAGACCACAGCUUCCCAAAAGUGCCACUAUAAUGUAAAACACAUUGUCUUUAUGUUGGGAUAAUUACCACAUAUAAUAGGUAAUACUUGUUUAGCACCAUAGAGGGGUUUGAGGUCUGAAGUGUGCUCAGAACUACUCCAAGCUGCUAGAAUGCAGACAUGAUGUUUCACUUACAAAGGCGGCUGUACAGAGUUAGAAAAGGGAAAAAUUAAAGUCCUUCUGCAAAG